GGGUGUGUAUCCAAGCGGUCAAAGGAUCCCGGCUGUAAACCGGGCGGCUUAUGCCUUCGGAGGUUCGAAUCCAUCCCAUGCCCACCA
rnacentral:tRNA from 1 species